UGAUGGUCAUGGUAUCGGAGCAGCAGC
rnacentral:piRNA from 1 species